ACGCACUUCCGUGGUUCAUUACGUAUUUCCUGUGUCGGUUGGCAGGAGGAAAAGCAGCAGGCGACGCCGGAGUGUAUUGAGUUGGAUCAAGAAGACAUUUCAUCAUGAAGAAACAGGACACACAAGAGUCGUCCACGCAGGGCAGUGAUGCAGCACCUGGCACGGUAGAGAUGGAGGGAAGCAAGGCUGCAAAAKAUGUUCCAGAGACCAGUAGCCCAGAAGACGUUACAGACGCUGGCAGCCCUAAAGAGAAAGAGCAGGACAUACCUUCACAAGCUGAUGGGGCUGAAAUGGCAGUGGCUGCCGUUUCCAAACACCGCAGAGUCUGCAGCCCGUCCCACGGUCCGCACUGUAGCAGACCCUGUACCAGUCUCCACUGUAGCAGACCCUAC